GAUGAAGAACGUAGCGAAAUGCGAUAAGUAAUGUGAAUUGCAGAAUUCAGUGAAUCAUCGAAUCUUUGAACGCACAUUGCGCCCCCUCGUAUUCCGGGGGGCAUGCCUGUUCGAGCGUCAUUUCACCACUCAAGCCUCGCUUGGUAUUGGGCAACGCGGUCCGCCGCGUGCCUCAAAUCGUCCGGCUGGGUCUUCUGUCCCCUAAGCGUUGUGGAAACUAUUCGCUAAAGGGUGUUCGGGAGGCUACGCCGUAAAACAACCCCAUUUCUAAGGUUGACCUCGGAUCAGGUAGGGAUACCCGCUGAACUUAAGCAUAUCAAUAAGCGGAGGA
rnacentral:misc_RNA from 1 species